GGGUGGAGCAGCUUGGUAGCUCGUCGGGCUCAUAACCCGAAGGUCGUCGGUUCAAAUCCGGCCCC
rnacentral:tRNA from 1 species